rnacentral:rRNA from 1 species
GUAAUAGCUCACUGGUCGAGUCGGCCCGCGCGGAAGAUGUAACGGGGCUAAACCAUGCACCGAAGCUGCGGCAGCGAACGUAUCACUUAAAUUUGUUUGAGUGAAUAACGAUUGACGGAACGAAGUGACGUCAAUGCGUUAAUGAAAGUCGAGGCGAAAGCACGACAAAGCGAAUUUAAGGAUACGUUCGUUGGGUAGGGGAGCGUUCUGUAAGCCUGCGAAGGUGUACUGUGAGGUAUGCUGGAGGUAUCAGAAGUGCGAAUGCUGACAUAAGUAACGAUAAUGCGGGUGAAAAACCCGCACGCCGGAAGACCAAGGGUUCCUGUCCAACGUUAAUCGGGGCAGGGUGAGUCGACCCCUAAGGCGAGGCUGAAAAGCGUAGUCGAUGGGAAACGGGUUAAUAUUCCCGUACUGGUGGUAACUGCGAUGGGGGAACGGAGAAGGCUAGGUUGUCCGGGCGACGGUCGUCCCGGUUCAAGCAGGUAGGCAGAGUGAUUAGGCAAAUCCGGUCACUUAAUGCUGAGAUGUGAUGACGAACCACCAAGGUGGUGAAGCAAUUGAUGCCCCGCUUCCAGGAAAAGCCUCUAAGCUUCAGGUUACCAACAAUCGUACCCCAAACCGACACAGGUGGUCAGGUAGAGAAUACUCAGGCGCUUGAGAGAACUCGGGUGAAGGAACUAGGCAAAAUGGUGCCGUAACUUCGGGAGAAGGCACGCUGGCGGUAGGUAAAGUCCCUCGCGGACAGAGCUGAAGCCAGUCGAAGAUACCAGCUGGCUGCAACUGUUUAUUAAAAACACAGCACUGUGCAAACACGAAAGUGGAC